rnacentral:rRNA from 1 species
UACGUAGGGUGCAAGCGUUGUCCGGAAUCAUUGGGCGUAAAGAGCGUGUAGGCGGCCUCGUAAGUCCGCUGUGAAAGUCCAGGGCUCAACCCUGGGAUGCCGGUGGAUACUGCGAGGCUAGAGUCCGGAAGGGGCGAGUGGAAUUCCUGGUGUAGCGGUGAAAUGCGUAGAUAUCAGGAGGAACACCGGUGGUGUAAACGGCUUUCUGGACCAUAACUGACGCUGAGGCACGAAAGCGUGGGUAGCAAACAGG